GUCACAGAAGCCUGGGACCACAUCUUGAGUCUGCUGUUUUAUAUCUGUAUGCCCCUAGCUCCGUGCAAAUCAGUGUAUAUAUUUUUUUCUACCCUGCACUCCCACUGACUAUAUUAUACUCCUGGGGCUCUUCAAGUGGAGGGGACACGCAGCUCUGCUCACGGAUGGCAGGUUGGCCUAUAAAGACAAGGACUUGGUCUAGAGGAAGGUUUUUUCCAUCUCCGUAAGCUUCAUCUGGAUGGCCCGACAUGGCCACGCCCAGGUCAACACUUCAUUCAGAACUUCAUUCUCUCUUGACACCUUCACUCAUGGCUUCCCUGGUUCUUCAUACCUGGAUAGGGGACGGAAUUCUCCUGUUCUUUCAGGGAAGCAUACUGCUGAUGGCUGAAUGCACCAGAUCUGAAGUCCUUGUUGGUUCACAGAGUCCCUAAAUAACAUAGGGAUUGACUCCGGUCUUUCUCCCUCCUGUUCGUAGUCACUGUAGAGCUGAGGAUAAGGGUGAUGAAACAGCUGCCUUCUGCUUCUUUGGUUACCUGAAAGACACUGACAUUCUGACUAGAAUGCCUGGAGAUUCCAUUUCUAUUCCUGCAUCUGCCACGAGUCCCGGAGGAGCUCUGGAAGGGUGCCUGUGACUCUGUAGUUCUAGGAUCCUGCCUCUAUUCCACCUCGAAUCUACAACCUUGUCGAGCGUGUCUAAUUCGCAUUUGUAAACACGAUGGUAAAGCAAGACAGGAUGUGAAGUAAAAUUUCCCAAACUAGGUCCCCUGUCCUGUAGCACUUUUGAUGAAGAACCAGUUUCCUAUUCAAACUGUUUAAAUUCGCCGUCAAAGAGUCAUUAGCUACGGUCCCAUUACUAAUGUCCUAUUACAAGGUAGUGAUUGAAACUUUCCCCCAGUAUUUCUUAGCAACUGUCCUCAGAUAUGACUUCUAUGGCUCAGUGCACUUGUUUCGUUAGGCCCUUUAUGGUUCAGACACACUGACUGUAUGUAGACAUGCCCGGCAGUACUCUCUUAAUUGGCAGUAAGAAUUUACUAUAUGAUCUGUGUUUGAGCGCUGUUAGAUAAUUUUUUCCCCUGCAAAGGAAAGAAAGCACGUAGCAUCUAGAAGAUAAUAAACUUUUCACACGGGCGUUUAAUGUGACCAUUUCCAGGGCAACACAUGAGAGACAGUCAAGUCUGCUGCUUUACUUUGGUUAGUAGGAACCCGGCUGGCCGUGGUAAUUCAAACACCACUGCAUUGUAAAGUGAGUUUGGACUGAGAUAGGACGCCUGUACUUUGCAAUUUUUUAAUACCAAGAUUCUAAAAAAAUUGACAUUGGAAUAACCCAAAGGAGUACAGAAGUCACCAACUUUUUGCUGAGAGGAGGAAUCUAAGGACUCAGAUUGCAACAGUCGGGUGAUCUACUUGUGUGCUGUGGAUAAACUGUGAGGGACAGUUCCUCAACAAUAUCCGAUUUUAUUUACAGGCCUUUUCCUCCACGUGAGCAAUAGGUUGAUAUCCCCACCCAGCAUUCACCUCAGAGACUUGUGCUUGCCUAACUUGCCCAGAGUUCCGAAUACAAUAUUGUGGGGCAGGCCUGAGGUGUUUUCAGACUUACUGUAAUAUAUGGUAGUCUUGGAAAGAUGCUAUUAUCAGUCCCCUACUGGAAUUUCUAUUAAUUUAUAGCAUUUGAAACAAAUUAUAAUAAACAAGCGCUUUUUGUCUCAGCGUCAUAUAUCUUAUUGUCUACAUGAGGUGAAGAGAAGCUGAUUAAAUUAGCACAACCUUCCUCUGUGUUGAGACAUGGCGUUUUAUUGGCAAUAGUAUAUAUCAUUUCACAACAAAUUCCGCUGUGAUUUUUCUUAAGCCUGUUAGCUUGAUUCUAUUCAAUCAAUAGGAAACGUUCCUGAGACAAGUAUUGCUAGUAAAUUCUUAUUCUUUCUCCAGGACACAUUAUAGUUUAACUUGUCAGAAAUAUUUCCAUGUACACAAUAAAACGGAUCUCUGUCAAACAGAAGCUGUUAACGAAACCCUCCUCACACACCGGGGACUGCAGUCAGUGGUACACAGUAGAUCACUUUGCCACCUCUUUUCUAUGUGAGAAACAAAGGAAACUACAUGUGUAUAUUAGAACUGAUUAGCACUGUACCCUAAAGCAAUUAAAUAAAUAUUAGAAGAAACUCCCACAGCCUUUUGUUUUGCUAUAAGGGGCUCAGCUGUGCUCCCUCUAACCCUAACUACAUCACUUCAAAUUACCAGUAAAUUAACAGAGGAACACUUUCAACCUCAGAGCAGAUUUGAUCCAAAUAGUCUUUAAAUGCCAUUUCUGUUCCUAUUAACCUAAAGAUCGGCAUAGCAGAUAUUUUCUCGGGGCUGCCCAGCAGUCCAGGGCAUUAAUGGUGAAGUUGUGACAGCCCUUUUCAUGAUGAUUUAUGAUUCCGUGUUUAACUUGAUUACGCCAAUGCUGACUCUGAAUACUAUUUCAAUUAGUGCACAGAAGGUCACAUCACAAAUAUCCCUCUAUAAUCUAUUCCUAUUAACACUAAUACACAGAGUAACCAAAUCUUUUCACCCUUGCUGAUUCUCAUCAUCCGGAGCCCUAACUGCAGGCGCCUUUACCAGUUUACUGCGUUGGACACUUCCGAAAUGGUAAUUUUCCCUCCUUGGAGUAUCACUAAUAGCCGGAGCCGUGACACGAAGAAGAAAGUGAGUCUCUGGGCUGGCAUUUGUGUAUUAAUAAUUACCAAAGUCUCCGAUUUAUUAAACAGGAGAUAUGCUUUCUAAAAUGCCUGUCUGAAGCACUAUUUCAUGACCAAUUACUAAAUAAAUAUACAAAAGAUUUUUGGGGGGGGGUAAUGAAAGCAGCUUACACCUAAAAUCAAUUUUAGCAGUAACUAAGUCUCCUCUCAUUAUUCUUCUAAGGACUCUGGGGAAUCACUCUCAUUUAUAUGUAACCAAUCAUAAUCUUGUUUUCUUUCCCUUUCUAUCUUUUAUUUUUUCCCCUCUAAUUUUUUUUUGGGGGGGGACUAAUUUCUACGUCUAACCAUUGGGGAAAACAAAGAAUAUUGGGUCAUCAGGCCUUUCCUUCCUUCCUGUGAACUGCUUAUAAACAGUCCCUGUGGUACAGAAUUAAGACUACAAAGAAGAAUGGAGUUUUAUUGAGAAAAAAGAAAAAAAAAACUUUUCAAUUUGUCCAAAGGUUAAAGUGAAACCAACUGCUAAAGACAAAAAUCCACACAUCAUUUAAACAAUUAGUGAGGAAUGUUCAAAGACUUUAUGUUCAAAGUGCACACAAUCUGGAUUUUAAGUCGUAUGUGGAGGCAAUCGAGAUGGAAAGUUAAUUAACAAUAAACCGAGAGGGCUUCAUCACAGCCGUUUAACUAUGCGCAGAGAGGCUGGCGUCCAGCGGAGAGCUUGGUGGGAAGUGAGAGUGGGAAGUUGGAAAGUCACUGUGCUCAGUGGGCCCCCAAUAAAUGCUUUAUUAACAGUGAUGAUGUCAGUCUUGCAAAAUAUUAAAGGGGACUUGUCUCCGUGGUUUGCUUUUUUAAUUCUUUUUUUUUGA